UACGUAGGGUCCAAGCGUUAAUCGGAAUUACUGGGCGUAAAGCGUGCGCAGGCGGUUUUGUAAGUCUGUUGUGAAAUCCCCCGGGCUCAACCUGGGAAUGGCAAUGGAGACUGCAAGGCUAGAGUUUGGCAGAGGGGGGUAGAAUUCCACGUGUAGCAGUGAAAUGCGUAGAGAUGUGGAGGAACACCGAUGGCGAAGGCAGCCCCCUGGGUCAAAACUGACGCUCAUGCACGAAAGCGUGGGGAGCAAAACAGG
rnacentral:rRNA from 1 species